rnacentral:rRNA from 1 species
GCUUGUCUCAAAGAUUAAGCCAUGCAUGUCUAAGUAUAAGCAAUUAUACAGCGAAACUGCGAAUGGCUCAUUAUAUCAGUUAUAGUUUAUUUGAUAGUUCCUUACUACUUGGAUAACCGUAGUAAUUCUAGAGCUAAUACAUGCGCGAAAUCUCGACUUUACGGAAGAGAUGUAUUUAUUAGAUACAAUCAACUCGUCUUUGACGGUGUUUGGUGAAUCAUGAUAACUUAGCGAAUCGCAUGGUCUAUAUGGCUGGCGAUGGUUCAUUCAAGUUUCUGCCCUAUCAGCUUUCGAUGGUAGGGUAUUGGCCUACCAUGGCGUUGACGGGUAACGGGGAAUUAGGGUUCGAUUCCGGAGAGGGAGCCUGAGAAACGGCUACCACAUCCAAGGAAGGCAGCAGGC